AUUAAGCAUAUCAAUAAGCGGAGGAAAAGAAAAUAACAAUGAUUUCCCUAGUAACGGCGAGUGAAGAGGAAAGAGCUCAAAGUUGGAACCUGUUUGGCUUAGCUAAACCGGAUUGUAAACUGUAGAGACGUUUUCCUGACACGCCAGACAAAUAAGUCCUUUGGAACAGGGCAUCAUAGAGGGUGAGAAUCCCGUCUUUGGUCUGAGCUGUUGUCUUUUGUGAUACGUUUUCAAAGAGUCAGGUUGUUUGGGAAUGCAGCCUAAAUUGGGUGGUAAAUCUCACCUAAAGCUAAAUAUUUGCGAGAGACCGAUAGCGAACAAGUACCGUGAGGGAAAGAUGAAAAGAACUUUGAAAAGAGAGUUAAACAGUAUGUGAAAUUGUUAAAAGGGAACCGUUUGGAGCCAGACUGGCUUGAUCGUAAUCAAUCUAGGUUUCGACCUGGAUGCACUUGCGGUCUAUGCCUGCCAACGACAGUUCUUUCUGAAGGAUAAAACUAAGAGGAAUGUGGCCCCUCGGGGUGUUAUAGCCUUUUAGAUAAUACUUUGGAUGGGACUGAGGAACGCAGUGAAUGCUUAUGGCGAGAUUGCUAGGCGCUUUUGUUGAUAUAUGUCAGAAUUUCUGCUUCGGGUGGUGCUGAUGUCUAAAGAUGAAACCCGUUUGGUUAAUUUUCUAUCACU
rnacentral:rRNA from 1 species